GACGAACGCUGGCGGCGUGCUUAACACAUGCAAGUCGAACGCUGAAGCUCAGCUUUUGUUGGGUGGAUGAGUGGCGAACGGGUGAGUAACACGUGAGUAACCUGCCCCCUUCUUUGGGAUAACGCCCGGAAACGGGUGCUAAUACUGGAUAUUCACUGGUCUUCGCAUGGGGGUUGGUGGAAAGGGUUUUUCUGGUGGGGGAUGGGCUCGCGGCCUAUCAGCUUGUUGGUGGGGUGAUGGCCUACCAAGGCUUUGACGGGUAGCCGGCCUGAGAGGGUGACCGGUCACAUUGGGACGGAGAUACGGCCCAGACUCCGACGGGAGGCAGCAGUGGGGAAUAUUGCACAAUGGGCGCAAGCCUGAUGCAGCGACGCCGCGUGAGGGAUGGAGGCCUUCGGGUUGUGAACCUCUUUCGCUCAUGGUCAAGCCGCAACAAUGGUUGUGGUGAGGGUAGUGGGUAAAGAAGCGCCGGCUAACUACGUG
rnacentral:rRNA from 1 species